GAGAGGGUGAUCGGCCACACUGGGACUGAGACACGGCCCAGACUCCUACGGGAGGCAGCAGUAGGGAAUCUUCCGCAAUGGACGCAAGUCUGACGGAGCAACGCCGCGUGAGUGAAGAAGGGUUUCGGCUCGUAAAACUCUGUUGUCGGGGAAGAACAAGUAUCGGCCUAAUACGCCGGUACCUUGACGGUACCUGAUUAGAAAGCCCCGGCUAACUACGUGCCAGCAGCCGCGGUAAUACGUAGGGGGCGAGCGUUGUCCGGAAUUAUUGGGCGUAAAGCGCGCGCAGGCGGUCUUUUAAGUCUGAUGUGAAAUCUUACGGCUUAACCGUAAGCGGUCAUUGGAAACUGGGAGACUUGAGUGCAGAAGAGGAGAGUGGAAUUCCACGUGUAGCGGUGAAAUGCGUAGAGAUGUGGAGGAACACCAGUGGCGAAGGCGACUCUCUGGUCUGUAACUGACGCUGAGGUGCGAAAGCGUGGGUAGCGAACAGGAUUAGAUACCCUGGUAGUCCACGCCGUAAACGAUGAGUGCUAGGUGUUAAGGGGUUUCCGCCCCUUAGUGCUGCAGU
rnacentral:rRNA from 1 species